CUACGGGGUGCAGCAGUGGGGAAUAUUGCACAAUGGGCGCAAGCCUGAUGCAGCCAUGCCGCGUGUAUGAAGAAGGCCUUCGGGUUGUAAAGUACUUUCAGUAAGGAGGAAGGCAGUCGCGUUAAUAGCGUAAUUGUUUGACGUUACUUACAGAAGAAGCACCGGCUAACUCCGUGCCAGCAGCCGCGGUAAUACGGAGGGUGCGAGCGUUAAUCGGAAUUACUGGGCGUAAAGCGCAUGCAGGUGGUCUGUUAAGUCAGAUGUGAAAGCCCCGGGCUCAACCCGGGAUGGUCAUUUGAAACUGGCAGGCUAGAGUACUGUAGAGGGGGGUAGAAUUUCAGGUGUAGCGGUGAAAUGCGUAGAGAUCUGAAGGAAUACCGGUGGCGAAGGCGGCCCCCUGGACAGAUACUGACACUCAGAUGCGAAAGCGUGGGGAGCAAACAGGAUUAGAUACCCUUGUAGUC
rnacentral:rRNA from 1 species